rnacentral:rRNA from 1 species
UAUAACUCCCAAACCCAUGUGAACAUACCUAACGUUGCCUCGGCAGGUCGCACCUACCUUGUAGCACCCUACCCUGUAGGGCCUACCCGGGAGGUGCGGGUAAGCCUGCCGGCGGCCCACCAAACUCUGUUUGAUAUUGAAUUCUGAACCUAUAACUAAAUAAGUUAAAACUUUCAACAACGGAUCUCUUGGUUCUGGCAUCGAUGAAGAACGCAGCGAAAUGCGAUAAGUAAUGUGAAUUGCAGAAUUCAGUGAAUCAUCGAAUCUUUGAACGCAUAUUGCGCCCAUUAGUAUUCUAGUGGGCAGGACCGUUCGAGCGUCAUUUCAACCCUUAAGCCUUCGUUGCUUAGUGUUGGGAGCCUACGGCAACGUAGCUCCUCAAAGUUAGUGGCGGAGUUGGUUCACACUCUAGACGUAGUAAUUUUUUAUCUCGCCUAUUAGUUGGACUAAUCCCCUGCCGUAAAACCCCCAAUUUAUCAAGGUUGACCUCGAAUCGGUUCAGACAAACUCGCUAAAUUGAAGCAUCUUAGUCAGCGAAGGAAAAGAAACCAACAGGGAUUGCCCUAGUAACGGCGAGUGAAGCGGCAACAGCUCAAAUUUGAAAUCUGGCCCUCGGGUCCGAGUUGUAAUUUGUAGAGGAUGCUUUUGGCGCGGUGCCUUCCGAGUUCCCUGGAACGGGACGCCUUAGAGGGUGAGAGCCCCGUACGGUUGGACACCAAGCCUCUGUAAAGCUCCUUCGACGAGUCGAGUAGCUUGGGAAUGCUGCUCUAAAUGGGAGGUAAAUUUCUUCUAAAGCUAAAUAUUGGCCAGAGACCGAUAGCGCACAAGUAGAGUGAUCGAAAGAUGAAAAGCACUUUGAAAA